CCUGAAGCGUGCGGCCCGAGGAGCUGUGCCUUCACAGGAGAACGACUCAGAGACAACAGCCUGGUGUCAGCAGGGACUUCCCAGACAGCGGGUCCGCUUUCUUUCCACCCAGCACGGAUCGGCACGCCCACCUGUCCGAGAGAUAAGUAGAGGGCUACGACCCACAGAGGGGAUGAAAGCGGGGUCUGGGUCACAACUCACAGGGAGGGGAUAUCGAUUUGUCUUUGGAGACGAGGAUGUCCAAGCAGUGCCCCCUUAGGCCCUGUAAAGGGAAAGUAUCGCUUUUGAUCAGAGUGCCAAGGUGCACAGGGCAGAGCAGGUCCGGUGUGUAUCGUGUCACUUGUCUAUCGUGCAUUCUGUGUUUUUUGUAUAUGUCAUGUCUAUUACCUCAGGCCUUUGAGGGGCCUAUCAGAAACCAUUCUUGGCAUCUGUGAUCCGCGUUCUUUAUUCUGGCACCAAUGCCAUAGAACUUUUGACUUAGGAGCUCAGACUGCCAUCAGACUCGCAUCUCUUCUUUAGAAGCAUCCAGUCAGAUGUCUUCUCAGGUCUUGUCCCGAGCUGUACGGGAAGCCGCUCCCUGCAAGGGAUCCAUUACGGCAGGUUAGGACUUGUCAGAAUGCGAGCUCUAGGCAGAGGAUUCUGACCGUAGGAUUCCCAGGCAUCCAUCUUGGCAGUUCUUGAGAUAAAUCAUUCAGUUAGCAUCUUCUUCCUCCAGGCUUCUCUGAGCCUCAUCAGCUCUCCAUCGGUCUCACCUCGGUCAUCUCAUUCUUCAUUCUCUCAGUCCUUGCAGUCAUUUUCCUUGCCAAGAGAUUUCUGUCCGUGUUGUGUCCCCCUUGUUUGUCACGUCCCGUCCUGUGUCACGGGUGUCUGCACGCAUUUGUGCCGGAGCCGCUCUGCCCUGCCGCAUAGCCUGGUGCAAUAGGGGAAGUCCCGGGGCCUUGUAGUUGGUAAUGUGGGGUGUGGUUGGACUCUAGAUGGCAUUUGUAGAUGGACACAAGAUGUUUGCAGCUGGGAAGUUAUCCUGGAGACCUUUGACGUUUGUUCUUACUUGUUUUUCAGAUUCAUCUGGAUAAUAUCUGUGCACGAGGGCCCCAUCCCGGGUCUGGGAGUCCCGCGGAGCAGGUCCGUCACUGUUUGUCUCUGCAGCAGAAGUGUAAAUGGUGACUCUGUUACAGCGCUGUUCUUUGUCUUUUUCGGAAGUCAAGGCAGAGAGCCACAGUCAAGGCCAAGUAGGCAAGGUGGUCCACUUGCCAUCUCUCCUGGCCGAGCAUGCCCGAUGUCAGGUGCUGUCACCGCUCCAGGCAUGCCAAAGAACAGAGGAGAGCAGGUAUCCUUUGAGCAGCCUCUGGAGUAGAAUCAGGAUUUGAGGUACCCGGAGGAGGUUUGCAGCCAAAGUUUGGAAACGGCAGCACCGAAGCAAACACGGAGAACGUCCCGACGUCCACGUACAACCGACGAUGGAUUUUGUCCGCUCGUCUUCCAAAAGCUAAGUGUCGCGGCCAGUAGUUGGGAGAAGGGGAAAAACCUUUACUAUCACAGGGGGCAAUUUGAUGUCAGUUUAGCGCAGAGGUCUGUAGCGGGACGGGCUCUCUGGAAGCAAAGGGAGAGGGUUUCUCCUCAGCCUUACCACAGCCUCUGCCGGGCAGGGCAGUUCCGACCCAUCUCCACAUUGUCGUAAACUUUGCGUCGUCAGCCUUCUUCAACUCGACAUCGUCACGGAUCUUUCGCCCGAGGAGUUCGCCUUCAGGUCCGGAGCUACGGCCACGGUCAACCGGCGGUCUCCGCUUCCUUCUCUAGGCCCACCGAGCCUCUCGAGCGUCCUCUUAACCGCUUCGGUGCUAACUUCUUUUAACGAGUUACAUUUCAUCAUUACAUCCUAUCGUCAUACGGCUUUCUUUCCUUUUGCAUCAUCAGCCCCCGGCUCAUCUUGCGCUAGCAAUCUCGGGUCCAUAAGGUGAAAGCGCCAGGCAGUUUCCACUUGUCUCUCCGUUACAUCAUCCGUGUCUAUGUUACGUCAUCCAUGUCCGUGUUACGUAGUCUGUCUCCACCGUCUUCCAUGUCGUAGGCCUUCGUUCCAUCCCAGCUCUUUACGGGCACUAUUUCUUGCCAUAUCGGCCGUAUUUUACACACAUUCCUUCACUUAUUCCGGCAUCUUUAAAUCUUUACUCUUUGAGACGGGAAGGAUUACACAAGAUGUCCUCAUCCAUCUUCCUUCUCGCUACCGGCUUUGGUAGCGCCUUUUCCUCCACGCCAUUCUCUUGGACUUUUAGAGGGAGCGUCUUACACCCUCCUCACGUGACCGCAGUAGUUCUCUAGGUUCCAUCUUCUCAAAGGGUAUAGGGCUCAAGAAUUAAUCUUUCAGAGAGUUAUGUCAAGUGCUGGCUUAUACCUUAUCUACCUGUGUUGGCUUAUACUCUGUGUACUUAUACUGUAUCUACCUGCGUUGGCUUAUAUUGUAUGUACUCUAUAUUGUCUGUACCUAUGUUGGCUUAUAGUGUAUGUACUUAUAUUGUCUGUACCUAUGUUGGCUUAUAUUGUCUGUAAUUAUGUUGGCUUAUAGUGUCUGUACCUUUAGUGUCUGUACCUAUGUUGGCUUAUAGUGUCUGUACCUAUGUUGGCUGUCCCUAUGUUGGCUUAUAGUGUCUGUACCUAUGCUGGCUUCUAGUGUCUGUACCUAUGUUGGCUGUACCUAUGUUGGCUUAUAGUGUCUGUACCUAUGCUGGCUGUACCUAUGUUGGCUUAUAGUGUCUGUACUUAUAGUGUCUGUACCUAUGUUGGCUUGUAGUGUCUGUACCUAUGUUGGCUUGUAGUGUCUGUACCUAUGUUGGCUUGUAGUGUCUGUACCUAUGUUGGCUUAUAGUGUCUGUACCUAUGUUGGCUUAUAGUGUCUGUACUUA